CCUACGGGAGGCAGCAGUGGGGAAUAUUGCACAAUGGGGGAAACCCUGAUGCAGCGACGCCGCGUGAGUGAAGAAGUAUUUCGGUAUGUAAAGCUCUAUCAGCAGGAACGAGACAAGACGGUACCUGACUAAGAAGCCACGGCUAACUACGUGCCAGCAGCCGCGGUAAUACGGAGGGGGCAAGCGUUAUCCGGAAGCACUGGGUGGAAAGGGAGCGUAGACGGCUGUGCAAGCCUGAAGUGAAAGGCGGGGUCCCAACCCCUGGACUGCUUUGGGAACUGUACGGCUGGAGUGCAGGAGAGGUAAGUGGAAUUCCUAGUGUAGCGGUGAAAUGCGUAGAUAUUAGGAGGAACACCAGUGGCGAAGGCGGCUUACUGGACUGUAACUGACGUUGAGGCUCGAAAGCGUGGGGAGCAAACAGGAUUAGAUACCCCUGUAGUC
rnacentral:rRNA from 1 species